GUGAGGAAUAUUGCGCAAUGGGGGCAACCCUGACGCAGCGAUGCCGCGUGGGUGAAGAAGGCCUUCGGGUCGUAAAGCCCUGUCGGGCGGGAAGAAUAGGUGGCGGCUGAAUAAUCCGCCACUGUGACGGUACCGCCAAAGGAAGCACCGGCUAACUCCGUGCCAGCAGCCGCGGUAAGACGGAGGGUGCGAGCGUUAUUCGGAUUCAUUGGGCGUAAAGGGCGUGCAGGCGGCCGGUCAAGUCAGACGUGAAAGCCCGGGGCUUAACCUCGGAAGUGCGUUUGAAACUGGUUGGCUUGAGUCCGGGAGAGGGAAGCGGAAUUCCGGGUGUAGAGGUGAAAUUCGUAGAUAUCCGGAGGAACACCGGUGGCGUAGGCGGCUUCCUGGACCGAGACUGACGCUGAGACGCGAAAGCGUGGGGAGCAAACAGGAUUAGAUACCCGGGUAGUCC
rnacentral:rRNA from 1 species